GCAACCUGACGCACAAGCUGAUCGCAAACUCGCCCUGAGGUUGUGGGCCCAGAGCUCCCAGUGAGAAGCCUGGGGGCAGGGUAGGGCAUGCUGGAGAGGGACACCGCUGCACUGGUGUGCUUAGAAGGGAGCGUUCAGGUAGGACCCCUGCCCGAUAUGUCACCCACUGACCAUCAUUCCACCAGAAACGUCCAGACCUUUGGGUUGUGAAGACCUGUCUGUCACCUGGUCAGGCCUCCCCCUCCCUACCUCCUGCAGAAGUCAUCACUCCCCUGGGAUGCUUGCAUCCUAUUCUUCAGGCCCAGGGAGGUGAAAUGGCUGGACAGGGGAGGCUCCCUCUGCUCCAUUUCGAGGAGAGAGUCCAGUGUUUCCACGCGCAGCCCUGUGGCUUGGAGGACAGAGCCAGGCUUUCAGACUCACCCAGCUCUGCAUCUUGUCUCACCACUUGGUAGCUGUGGGACCUUGGAUGAGAACCAGAAAAGCGAAGGGACUACCAAGAUUACACAGCUGUUAGCGGCAGAACUGAGAUUCCACCUGGAUCUUCUGGCCACGAUGCCAACUCUUUGCCCAUCAAACCAGAGUGUCCCCAGGAUUCCCGAGGGCAGGGAGCUGGACACAGCUACUGUGGACCCAGGGAAGCGCUGACCAUCAGGAUUUGGCAGUGAGAGCCUCCGUCCAUCUCCCACCCUCCGGACUUCGAUGUUGGGGCCAGCAGACAGGAGCCAUCAGACACGUUCUUUUCGGGCUGCCUCUUCCUCCGUCCAGCUCAGGUGACUGGUGGCCCCUCUGGGCCCAACCAGUCUGGGCAAGAAGCAGCCCCAGCUCUGUCAGAUGCCCAGGGUGGCCCACCCCCCUUCCUGGAGCCCAGCCAGCCCUCUCAGCUGGACUCUUGACCCUCUGUUUUCCUGUUUCUCUGCAGGAAAUGAGCUCUGAAAGACAAGCGCUGAGUGGGGUCCAGACAACAUAUCCAUGCUCAGGGCAGGAAGUAGGAAGGCGGGCAGGGAGGUCCCAGGCAUAUCUGUCCCCUUCUCUCAGAAAAACAAUGCUUUUAUACAAAUCUCCCCAGCAGACUUCUGCUUGUUCUCUUUGGAAAGAACCAGAACAUGUGGCCAUUCCUAGCUGCAAGAAAGUCUGGGAAAAAGGGAGCAAGAUUAUCAUGAUUGGCUUAGACCAGGGUCAGCAACCUUCCGUGAAGGCCUAGAUGGUAAAGACUUGAGGCUUGGUGGCCGUAGACUCUGUCACAACUACUCAACUCUGCCUUUGAAGCACGAAAGCAGCCCCA
rnacentral:lncRNA from 1 species